rnacentral:rRNA from 1 species
GAUGAACGCUGGCGGCGUGCCUAAUACAUGCAAGUCGAGCGAACGGACGAGAAGCUUGCUUCUCUGAUGUUAGCGGCGGACGGGUGAGUAACACGUGGAUAACCUACCUAUAAGACUGGGAUAACUUCGGGAAACCGGAGCUAAUACCGGAUAAUAUUUUGAACCGCAUGGUUCAAAAGUGAAAGACGGUCUUGCUGUCACUUAUAGAUGGAUCCGCGCUGCAUUAGCUAGUUGGUAAGGUAACGGCUUACCAAGGCAACGAUGCAUAGCCGACCUGAGAGGGUGAUCGGCCACACUGGAACUGAGACACGGUCCAGACUCCUACGGGAGGCAGCAGUAGGGAAUCUUCCGCAAUGGGCGAAAGCCUGACGGAGCAACGCCGCGUGAGUGAUGAAGGUCUUCGGAUCGUAAAACUCUGUUAUUAGGGAAGAACAUAUGUGUAAGUAACUGUGCACAUCUUGACGGUACCUAAUCAGAAAGCCACGGCUAACUACGUGCCAGCAGCCGCGGUAAUACGUAGGUGGCAAGCGUUAUCCGGAAUUAUUGGGCGUAAAGCGCGCGUAGGCGGUUUUUUAAGUCUGAUGUGAAAGCCCACGGCUCAACCGUGGAGGGUCAUUGGAAACUGGAAAACUUGAGUGCAGAAGAGGAAAGUGGAAUUCCAUGUGUAGCGGUGAAAUGCGCAGAGAUAUGGAGGAACACCAGCGGCGAAGGCGACUUUCUGGUCUGUAACUGACGCUGAUGUGCGAAAGCGUGGGGAUCAAACAGGAUUAGAUACCCUGGUAGUCCACGCCGUAAACGAUGAGUGCUAAGUGUUAGGGGGUUUCCGCCCCUUAGUGCUGCAGCUAACGCAUUAAGCACUCCGCCUGGGGAGUACGACCGCAAGGUUGAAACUCAAAGGAAUUGACGGGGACCCGCACAAGCGGUGGAGCAUGUGGUUUAAUUCGAAGCAACGCGAAGAACCUUACCAAAUCUUGACAUCCUUUGACAACUCUAGAGAUAGAGCCUUCCCCUUCGGGGGACAAAGUGACAGGUGGUGCAUGGUUGUCGUCGGCUCGUGUCGUGAGAUGUUGGGUUAAGUCCCGCAACGAGCGCAACCCUUAAGCUUAGUUGCCAUCAUUAAGUUGGGCACUCUAAGUUGACUGCCGGUGACAAACCGGAGGAAGGUGGGGAUGACGUCAAAUCAUCAUGCCCCUUAUGAUUUGGGCUACACACGUGCUACAAUGGACAAUACAAAGGGCAGCGAAACCGCGAGGUCAAGCAAAUCCCAUAAAGUUGUUCUCAGUUCGGAUUGUAGUCUGCAACUCGACUACAUGAAGCUGGAAUCGCUAGUAAUCGUAGAUCAGCAUGCUACGGUGAAUACGUUCCCGGGUCU